CAGGGACACAUGUUGCAGGGGUAGUGUAGUGUUCUCUCUCAGCAACCAGAGUAGGCUGGGGAAAAUUAGGACUUAAACCUUCUCAUUCCUUGCUCAGUUUAGCAUUGCUCACACUUUGCCCUGGAGACUUUACUUACAAGGAUAUCAUUCUACACUUGAGGGGAGUUUAAGAAGGCCAUACAAGUUCCGACAUCACCACUGCUAAAUGGGAGUUGUGUUCUUACGGGAUUUUUUAUCUUGAAUUACACUUGGACUCUUAAUACAUGCUGAGUGCUGUUGAAGUCCCAUUUGUGAGUACACACUGCUGCUACUAUUACUACAACUACUUCAGGAAUUUGAAAAUCAGAGAGGAUAUUUUUUACUCAGGCUGUGUUCACACUGCACACUGUGUUGGAACAGAGAGAAAAGUAUCUCCAAAACCACGGAACCACGCGCCAGAAGUUGACUCCUUGCUGCGUGUAGAAAAAGAAACAAACUGUACCUCAUUUCAUUGACGUUGUUGGAAUUGGAUAUUAUUUCUCAGUGACUGAACAUAACUUGUUGACUUGCAACCAACAACAGCAGAUUUUUUUGUAUUGUGGUAUGAAGGUCGUGCGAUAAGUGUCACCUUUCUAUCUUCACUGAGAGGGCAGACAGCAGGAAUCCUUUCACUACUGAAUUACUUCAUUUUGAUCAUAAUUUUUCUUAAAGAUCAACUCUGGAUCUAUAUAGACAGUUUUAUGAAACACUGUAACAAAACUUGCCCUUAAAAUAUCUGAAGUUCUAAGCUCUUUCAUUGGAAGAACUACAGCUAGUAACAGUUUGCAUCAAAACUGACAUGAAAGCCAUCUAGACAGUAUUAGAUCUGCUAGAAUUUAAUCAAGUUCCCAUCAUCAUACACCUGUCUGCACCUAUUACCCCGAAUCCCCAGGAUUCCUUCACACAAAAAGUGUAUAUGUCACAUGGAAUAACACCACAACUUGACCCUCUGACCUGUGGGGUUGUUCUUUAAAACAAAAAUCACAGCAAAACCAAUUCUGUAUAUUACAGGGAAUUGUACACCCUGAGUUACAAGAGGGUAUCUUCACAAAGGAGUGUGGAUGUCAUGUACAAUAACAUAAUACCUGACCUCUGAUCUGCGGGGUUGUCUUUAAAAACAAGAUAUACAGGGAAGGACUCUGCAUGCGAUAUUGUAAUAUAAUGAGUGACUAAGACAUAGGGCAUUGUUUUAGAAGUAAAAGGCAUUUCAGGACACACAUAAAUGGAAUGAGAAAAGUGCACUGGACAUAAUUUAUAACUGACCAUUAGAAGUACUCUGACACAGUAUAUAACUGACCACUAAGAGUACUCUGGCACAGUAUAUAACUGACCACAAGAGGUACUACUGGGCACAGUGAUUCAGUGACCAAAUAAAAUACUAUGAAGCACAGUCAAUGAAGGCAGAACUAUAGGGCCAUUACUCAGGCAUAUUGUUGGUGACACGGUUUUUAUACACCAAGGACAAUUUCUACAUGAAAUGAUCCAGUGAAAUUGCCCAUGAAAUCACUGCAAGGACAAAAAGAAGACAACAUGUAGGGGAACUUUAUGUCUGACUGCAUUCACUGUUUUCUAGUCAUGCAAUUCGCCUAGUUAUCUGAUCUUUGCUGCCGGAGUUAUACAGGAUUUGUACAUACUAUCACAUGUACUAACCACUCUGAAAACAACUACAAAAAUAUUUCCAUCGCCAGAAUCAUCUUCCAAGUUCAUGACUGCAUGCCAUGGAGCAAUUCAAUGGAUAUACUUAACAAUACCGACUACGAAACAGAGUGACUACGGAACUUUUUCCACAGGACUGGAUUUUACGAGCACAUGCAACCCUGUAAUUUAUAAUCAUAAUAACACAGCUGAAUAGGAAUACAACAGGUCAAUAUAUAAACAGGUGCUGGACCCAACACAGGGGAUUAAGUCAUCUCAGAUGCAAGGUUUCCCCCUGUAAGAGGACAAUAGGAACAGGUGAAAGGGACGACUUUUAAUUCUGCACCAUUGUGAAUGAAUGGCCUAAGUCAAAUAGAAAGGAGACAGAUAUUCCGUUUGUGUGUGUGUGGGUUUGUGUGUGUGGAAUUUCCAUUGAGCAAAACUUACUGGGCCAGUCAGUAAAAGAAGGCAGCCUUAUUAUUGAAGGAGAGGGAUUAACAUUGAGGAACCGAGGACAGGCAUUUUACGACUACAACCACUGGCACGCAAUAUUACUGGAUAAUUAGGCUGAGAGAUCUAGGACACAGAGGGAAAAGAUAUUCCUCCAUUUUUCUGCUGUGGAGUUUUCAGUUGGGCUCACCUGGAAGUACAGGGCACCAAGUCAGCAUCGUUACCCACUUCCUAACCUGGCUCUAUUCCGAUUGUGGUCAGACAAAGCCUCGGUGUGUGUGCCGGGUGAAGUUUUCACUAGAACACGGAGCAAGCGUUUACUCACUCAGCCGACCAACAGUGCGAGACUUCCUGUCGUCUUAUUUACUCAGGAGUGAUUAAUCCAAACACAUGGGUCAGGAAGGGAAAUGUACACUCAACAGGUGAUUUAUACCGCCUUUUAAUUUCCUAAUAUGUUGUCUGUAUGACACAGAUAAUAUGUAUAUGAUAUCGAAAUAGAAGUGGACAUCAUCUGUGGAUUAAACUAAGAUUCUUAUUAACUGACUAACAGGUAUGAUAUAAACCAAUGGACCUUGUUUCUGGAUUAUAAUUGGAUCAGGAGCCAGUUCAUAAUAUUGACGCAGGUGAAGGUGGUGAGAGACAGGUAACUGAAACCAGUUCCACAUUUCAAGCUGUACAACCAAGGAGAAGACCUCUGACCAGCAUCUUGUCUAUCUCAGAAUUUGAAUUUUGAACUGUGUAUUUUCAUAUAUUGGACCCAGUGCAUUAUUGGAAUUCAUACCCAAGACAUCAGAUUAUCAUCUUGUUCAUCUUAGAAUUUGAGUUCCUAACUGUUUAUUUUCACAUACUGGACCAGUGCAUCAUCUUCCUACGCACAUACACUUCUACUGUACACAACUUCACCUGUCUGAACAUCUUCAAGAGGAUCACUACCUGUUCAGUGUGUAUCUCUGUGUGGAUUAAUAAGGGAUUAUCCUGAGUGGAUUAAUGAUAAU